UACAGAGGGUGCGAGCGUUGUUCGGAAUUACUGGGCGUAAAGCGCGCGCAGGCGGCCCUUUACGUCCGUCGGUCAAAUGCCGGGGCUCAACCCCGAUGCAUGCCGAGGAUACUGGAGGGCUGGAGACACGUAGAGGCAAGCGGAAUUCCGGGAGUAGCGGUGGAAUGCGUAGAGAUCCGGAAGAACACCGGAGGCGAAGGCGGCUUGCUGGGCGUGAUCUGACGCUGAGGCGCGAAAGCGUGGGGAGCGAACAGG
rnacentral:rRNA from 1 species